GCACCAGUAGCUCAGCGGUAGAGCACGCGCCUCUUAAGCGCUUGGUCGAAGGUUCGAAUCCCUCCUGGUGCACCA
rnacentral:tRNA from 1 species